AGAGUUUGAUCCUGGCUCAGAAUCAACGCUGGCGGCGUGUCUAACACAUGCAAGUCGCACGAGAAAGGGACUUCGGUCCUGAGUAAAGUGGCGCACGGGUGAGUAACACGUGAAUCAUCUACCUUCGAGUGGGGAAUAACUGGGAGAAAUCUCAGCUAAUACCGCAUAAUACCUACGGGUCAAAGCAGCAAUGCGCUUGAAGAGGAGUUCGCGGCAGAUUAGCUAGUUGGCGGGGUAAUGGCCCACCAAGGCGAUGAUCUGUAUCCGGCCUGAGAGGGCGCACGGACACACUGGAACUGAAACACGGUCCAGACUCCUACGGGAGGCAGCAGUGGGGAAUUUUGCGCAAUGGGGGAAACCCUGACGCAGCAACGCCGCGUGGAGGAUGAAGUAUCUUGGUACGUAAACUCCUUUCGAUGGGGAAGA
rnacentral:rRNA from 1 species